GGAUGUGACAGUGAUCUGGCUGCGACACCCAUCACCCCACUGAUUGCCAGUGUUGAUUAGGCUUCUCUGGCUACCCAGGCAGAUAUCCCCUUUCUCAAUGCUUCUCAUGUGCUUCCCUCCUGAAGCUGCACUCUCAUUGAAAGAGGACAACUUUUCCCAAUACAGGAGAACAGUCUUCGUUCAAGGGUAGAUGCCUAGCUGUGCUCCCUUUCUGGAACCUCCAAACAAACUCUGUCAGUCCAUAAAUCUCCUGCCACCAUACAUGCAUAGCCUCCCUAACUCUUAACAUCCCCCACCAGAGUGAGUGGUACCUUUAUUG
rnacentral:sRNA from 1 species